rnacentral:tRNA from 1 species
GUUAUGGUGGCCGAGUGGUUUAGGCGAUGGACUACAAAUCCAUUGGGGACUCCGCGCGUAUGUUCCUGCCGAUGACA